AAAAGAUUCCCAGAAGGUUCUAAUGUUCGGUUAGGUUGAUAACCACUAUCCUAGGGCAGCUGGGCAACUCUUGAUUAGAAUAGAUUUUCAGCAAAUAUUUGUUUCAAUGAAUGUAUGAAUAAAUAAAUAAAUGAAUGAAUAAAUGAAUGAAUGAACAAACCAACAAGCUAAUAAAUAUCUGGUUAUUAUGGUUGUAGGUGUACCAUUGACUAGGGCCAGAAAAAGUCCUAGGCACGUUUAAAAAAGAAAAAGCAUGCCAGAUGUUCUAAACACUGUAAAUGCUUUCUUAUUAACUCAACAACUCGAUAAGAUCACCGGAGCAUCGCCUGGGUUCCCACUGCCAGGACUCCACCAAGAUCCCCCCGCGGGGCACAGGCUUUAGCUCGCCACCAGCACGCAGCCCUCUCUCCAGCAAACAAACUGCCAAGGAGUCUUUGAGCUCCCUCUUGGGAUCUUCCCUUUAGGAACUCAGCCACCAUGCUGUGAGAAGCCUGGGUCAUGAAGAGGCCACGUGGAGGUGUUCCAGUAGACAGCCCAGCUGAGCUUCUGGCUGAUGGCUAGCAUCCACUGUCAGCGAUGUGAAUAAGAUCUUGGACAUUUCAGACAACUCCAGCUCCCAUGUGAUUGCAAUCCCAGCCAACAUCACACUGGGCAUAAGAACUACCCAGCGGAAUCAAGUCAACCCACACAACUGUGAGAGUUAAUAAAAUGGUUGUUGUUUCAAGUCACUAUGUUUUGGAGGAGUUAGGCUGCAACAGAUAACCCAAACACAAUCUCAGAGAGAACCACUGUUGGUGAUAGCGGCCAGAAGGGGCAAAUGUUGGGGCGCCUGGCUGGCUCAGUCAGAAGAACGUGCAACUCUUGAUCUCAGGGUAGUGAGUUCGAGCCCCACAUGGGGUAUAGAGAUAAAUAAAAAACUUAAAUAAAUAAAAAAACGUAACAACAAUAACAAAAGAAGG